rnacentral:rRNA from 1 species
UACAGAGGUCUCGAGCGUUAGGCGGAAUCACUGGGCUUAAAGCGUGUGUAGGUGGAUCGUUAAGUACCUUGUGAAAUCCCACGGCUUAACCGUGGAACUGCUUGGUAUACUGGCGGUCUUGAGCCAGCUAGGGGCUACCGGAACAAAUGGUGGAGCGGUGAAAUGCGUAGAUAUCAUUUGGAACGCCAAUGGUGAAAACAGGUAGCUGGGGCUGUGCUGACGCUGAGACACGAAAGCCAGGGGAGCAAACGGG